AGAGUUUGAUCCUGGCUCAGAGUGAACGCUGGCGGCAGGCCUAACACAUGCAAGUCGAACGGCAGCACAGGGGAGCUUGCUCCCUGGGUGGCGAGUGGCGGACGGGUGAGGAAAACGUCGGAAUCUGCCUAUUUGUGGGGGAUAACGUAGGGAAACUUACGCUAAUACCGCAUACGCCCUGAGGGGGAAAGUGGGGGAUCCGCAAGGACCUCACGUUAUUCGAGCGGCCGACGUCUGAUUAGCUAGUUGGUGGGGUAAAGGCCUACCAAGGCGACGAUCAGUAGCGGGUCUGAGAGGAUGAUCCGCCACACUGGAACUGAGACACGGUCCAGACUCCUACGGGAGGCAGCAGUGGGGAAUUUUGGACAAUGGGGGAAACCCUGAUCCAGCCAUUCCGCGUGGGUGAAGAAGGCCUUCGGGUUGUAAAGCUCUUUCAGCUGGAAAGAAACGGUGCGCUCUAACAUAGCGUGCUAAUGACGGUACCAGCAGAAGAAGCACCGGCUAACUACGUGCCAGCAGCCGCGGUAAUACGUAGGGUGCGAGCGUUAAUCGGAAUUACUGGGCGUAAAGCGUGCGUAGGUGGUUUGUUAAGUCUGAUGUGAAAGCCCUGGGCUCAACCUGGGAAUUGCAUUGGAUACUGGCAGUCUAGAGUGCGGUAGAGGGUAGCGGAAUUCCCGGUGUAGCAGUGAAAUGCGUAGAUAUCGGGAGGAACAUCCGUGGCGAAGGCGGCUACCUGGACCAGCACUGACACUGAGGCACGAAAGCGUGGGGAGCAAACAGGAUUAGAUACCCUGGUAGUCG
rnacentral:rRNA from 1 species